UCUCUCUCCUCCACGAAUAUGAGUUCUUGUUUCCUUUCUGUUCGGCACCCAACCUCCUUCUUGGUCUUCACAGAGAGAAAGAUUGAAAGGAUUGAUUUUGAAUCAAAGAUUUAGGAAUGGCUUCGAGAGUCGUUGAUCAACAAUAAGCCAGAGGUUCUCUAAUCGUUUUUUUUCAGGUUUCAUACUUCGUCCAGGUUUUUGGCCUGAUUUGAUGUGAAUUCGGAGGUUCUGCAUAUUGAAGAAGUUAGCAAAGCAAAG